rnacentral:rRNA from 1 species
GAUGAACGCUGGCGGCGUGCUUAACACAUGCAAGUCGAACGGUGAACGAGGGAGCUUGCUCACUCCGGAUCAGUGGCGAACGGGUGAGUAACACGUGAGCAAUCUGCCCUGGACUCUGGGAUAAGCGUUGGAAACAACGUCUAAUACCGGAUACGAGACGCGAAGGCAUCUUCAGCGUCUGUAAAGAACUUCGGUCCAGGAUGAGCUCGCGGCCUAUCAGGUAGUUGGUGAGGUAACGGCUCCCCAAGCCUACGACGGGUAGCCGGCCGGAGAGGGUGUCCGGCCACACUGGGACUGAGACACGGCCCAGACUCCUACGGGAGGCAGCAGUGGGGAAUAUUGCACAAUGGGCGCAAGCCUGAUGCAGCAACGCCGCGUGAGGGACGACGGCCUUCGGGUUGUAAACCUCUUUUAGCAGGGAAGAAGCGAAAGUGACGGCACCUGCAGAAAAAGCACCGGCUAACUACGUGCCAGCCGCCGCCGUAACAC